GUUCACAGCCAUACCACCCUGAAUGUGUGCAGUCUCCUCUGAUCUUAGAAGCUAAGCAGCGUCGGGCCUGGUUAGUACUUGGAAGGGGGACA
rnacentral:rRNA from 1 species